CAAUAGCAGCCUUGAAAAAAUCCUGCAAAAAAAGAAAAAAUUACAAUAGGAAGUUUGGUAACACUGCAAAGAGAUUCUAAGCUACUUUUCGAGUCUUCAUGUGGUCAGAUAGUUCUAACAAUGACAGAAUUAUUUUGUCGCUUAGAGCAUUGCUACUUGGUAUCAACACCUCUCCUUUAAAGAGUAGGUUGAGACUUGAGAGUUCAAAUCCCCCAUCAAACAAUUCAGAAAACAAUGAUGGUAUAUCAUCAGAAUACGAUGGUCAUUUCAUGCAAUUCACUAUAAGUGAAACAUCUAACUUCAAACUUAAUGGAAAAGGUAAAAUGCAAAAUAUAAGUGCCUCUUGUGCAUUGCCCCAAGAUUUAUAAACAGAAUCCAGGAAUGAUGAUAACAGUUCUUCUGGAUUAGUAACACCCAAUCAGUGUACAGAAAGACCAAUUGACAUGAAACCCUAAGGGAAUUCUAUGUUGGAAAUAAAAGGAUGAGUUCUAUAAGAUGGCUUGUGGCAACAAUUCCCACGUUAGUAGAGUACAAGAAAAUAAAAGGGCAUAUAAGUUCAAGGCAAAACAAACCAAUAUGGCUUAGGCCAUUUUGGUGAUGGGGAGCUCAGUUUCAAGCCCAAUUCAGCAUUAAGGCCUGCCCGUUUGAUGAGUUUGAUGAUCCACACUUCUGGGUCCACAAUUUGCAACAUGAUAUCAGGGCAGUGAGGCUCAACAGCUUUAGAUUUGAGACCCAAACACAUGGUAGGUUGAGUCUGAAGGAGUCAAACUUGUGAGUUGAGGUAGACACAGGUGGACCCAUGAGCUAGUCAAUGAGAGCUAGACCCUGAGGGCAAAGCCAAAAGGAGCCAAACCUAAGUAGAUGGGCCUGUCUAUACAAUGAGAAGUAACAACCACACCUAUGAGCUCAAGCCUGAACCUAAUCACAUUUGAGGAGUGUCGGAAUAUGGGUUGUGGGAAAAAGUCUCACAUUACAAAAGCGUAAGAAAAUUAAAGGGCAUACAAGUAUUGGCAAACCAAACCAAAAUGGCCUAAGCCCAAUUCAGUGUGUAGCUUGCCAAUUUGAUAUUUACACUCUUGAUUCCAUAAUUCUCAACAAAAAGCAUUGUUCUUCAAGGAAGCCACUAUGAAACUUGUCCUCUCUCAUUGAGAACCAAAAAAUUGAAGUUCUUUGUUUCACUUGACCAACAACCAAACAUAUGGCACAAUAAAUUAAAGUAACAAAUAAGUCUUCCUAUGAGAGAGAGAGACAAAAGGUACAUUUGUAUAUUCACAUGGAAUAAAUUUUCUCAAAACAAGUACAUUAGGGAAUUUGCAGAGUCAAAUAACCAUUGUAGCCAUUUUCCAUUAACAAACCUUCACAAGUAUGCGAACUUUACAAUCAUGCAGCUUAAACCCUCUGAGAGCCAGUGAGGUUAAUUUUGGGCAAUUAUUUACUAGAUCCACACAGGUUGGCGAUUUCAGACUCUCAUCUCUUCCUGUUUUUGAAGACUCAAAAAACAAACGCUCUAUCAAGGGACAAUUCAUGCUCACGGACACCAAUGUUUGCCUCAACUCAACGUGUAGGCCAACAAUUUCCAGGUCAAGGAGAGAGGGGCACGCUGACAAUGCCCCACAAAGUGAGGUGUUAUCCAUUCUUUCAAUAUUGUAAAGUUGCAACCUCCUCAAAAGUGUUCCUGCAGCACCACUAUCCCCGCUCAAAGGGUUUAGGCAGGAUCUAGUGAGAAUGGAUGAUUCUUUGCCUUGUCUGGACUUUUUGUCAUUCCAUGAAAAGUUAGAUGCGUCAACAGAAUUCCUGAUGCUAGAAACUAAUGGUUGACAAGGUCCAGGAUACACAGUUGGACCUGGAACUAUACCAAGCUUAAGGGACUGAAGGGAUUUUCCAGCACGUUGGAUCAUUGUGGACACCACUGCAUUAUUGACUUUAGGGACUACUGUUGUCAAGUCAAUAUUGGCAUAACACAAGGGAUCCAUGGCACAUUUGUUGAACAUUGAACAAGUUGCUGCAGCAUAGCAUAAACUUUGUGUAUCAAGCAUAGAAAAUACCUUGAUGGUGAUAUCGGGAGGUAGAGCCCAGGUCAGCGAAUUGUGCUUGGAAGAGCGUUUUCUAGCGGAGCGUUUCCCAGCUUCGAGAAGUAUAGAGCCCAAUUUGAGGGCACGAUCGAUGAGGAGGGACUGAUCGGCGUCGCAAGGGAAGGAAUCGAGGAGACGCUCGAAGGAGAGGUCAAUAAAGAGAGCAGGUGAGUCUGCUAGGUCCAGAAAUGUUUGGAGGAGAUUAUCCACUUGGUGGCUCAUGUUCGGUUGCCUACUAGAGCUUGUAGUGGUGGUGGCGUUGGUGGUGGUGGUUACUGAGGAGAAGGAUAUGGAUGAGAACGGACAAGGGCGCUUGGCCAUGGAGGUAGAGGUGUCAGGUGUGGAGGAGGGUAUCCACAUAGCGGGUGGAUGUGGAUGUGGAUGUGAGCGAGAACCAGAAGAGACAGAAGAGUUUUGAGACAGAUGGCGUACGGACGAGGGAUUUUCUGACACGUGUAUGCGUCUACAUGGCGCUUUUAUGUUCUAAGAUAUGGGUUUGCGUACCAUUUUG
rnacentral:misc_RNA from 1 species